ensembl:snRNA U6 U6 spliceosomal RNA
CCGUUUUCAGCAGCAAAUGUGCUAAAGCUGAAAGGACAUUAAGUAAAUCAGCACUGUCCCUGUGCAAGGAUGACAAGCAAGUUUAUGAGGCAUUCUAUAGUUUC